UAUGAAAUAUGACAAUCUAAUAAUGUUUGGCCUCAAGCCAUAACCUUGAUUCUGAAUCCUCUUAACAGGAGGCAAAGAGUGACACCAUCCCUCCUACGUCUUCUCAGAAAGAUCUGGUUGAUGCCACAGAGGCCACCAGCCUUCAGGCUGCCAUCCAGGCCAUAGCCAACCUGGUUGAAGACCAAGAUGGAGCUGCAGAAAAAGGGAGACCCUCUGAUGAUGAAAUGACAUCUGCAUUUUCCACUCUAGCUGAGCAGGAGGUGAUGAGUGGCACCAAACCAACUGCUGUUGCUACCACGGAGGCUCUCCAUCUACAGCCUCUGAUAGAGGAAGAGGUUGUGGAACCAGUCACCAAUGUUGUCACAGCAACACUCAGUGACAUGCUGC